UUACACUGUCUUCUGUGUUUUCUGCUUUUUCCCGCUUCUAGUUUUUGUUGAUACUUUCUUGUGGUUCUCUUGUGUUUCCUUUUGGAUUUUGUUUAUUGACAUUUAAGUUUCUCCUGAGGGAGAGCUGGCCGAGUUCUGAGAUGGAAACGACAGAGGGGGAGGACACACUAUUCCCACGUGGGAUUGUUCUGUCUCUGCAAAAGGAAGCGGAGAACCUUUCAGCCCACCGUCUCCACACGUUUCCACCAGAUCAAUCGCUGCCCACAAAAUGCCGGUGGAUCAGCAGUGGCCCCAGGUGAAAUCUUAUGCAUUGCCUUUAAAUUUGAGUCACGGAGCAAUGAAGAAGAGCUGCUAUCAGGAUGAUUUGAAGAGUCUGCAAGACCUGAAGUUACCUUCAGAACAGCAUUUUAAGUUGUUAAAAAGACCUUGAAGGGAAAUACCUGGACUACCUCAGCAGUGUAAAGUGUUCAUAAGCAUGAUUCAUUAAGAAGCGACUGCAUUCGAACAAUUAAGUCAGAAUAGAGAGUGCACAUCUGCAUUUUUCCAUUUGUCCAUAUCUUUGAGAAUGGCAGGCUAUGCUCAUUAAUGGGUGUCCUACAUUUCCUCAGUGUGCAUGGAAAGUUUGCAUUUUAUCUUUCUUAUUUGAAGCAGUCUUUGUCUUAACGCUUUUAUUUGAAUUUGCUCUCCUUAUUCCUGGACUCUUCCUGUACACCCAGCUGAAAAAAACACCUGCCCUUCAAGAUAACUUUGUCAUGUCAGUAAAUAGCAAGUUUAAUCUGCUGCUUGUUGAUACAGAUGCUCAUGUUUUACUGUAGUUGCUUGCCAGUUUUUAUAAGCAAAUUCAACUAAAAUGCCCAUGCAGGCUUUGUUAGCUAUAGUAACAUUUGCAAAGCCUGCACUAAUGGCUCAUAAACUUGUGGGCAUUCUUAUAAGAACUAAAAUAUAUCGGACUUGAAAACAGACAUGCUGACUUUAACAUCUGCCCAUGAAAACGAGCACAGGGCUUUAUGUGAUGAUUAUGCAUGAUUACAUUGUAAGAGACUGACAUAUAUCUAAGUGUACAAGCAAAGGCAUUUAUCUAGUUCCACACUCUGCAGGUUUUAUCCACAUCUUUCAGCUUUGAUUUUGUAAACAGCGACUACAAACUGCCAGAAAAACAUUACACUAUAAUUUUCUUAAAAAGCUCAUUCACCAUUAGCUGCGAUUACUUUGUUGUCGUUACAGUGAAAUUAUCGAGAGAGAGCCUGUCUGCUGAUAACAGAGUGAAAAUAAGCACCAACCACCCUCUGGUGCAGUUUGAAACAAUUAAACAAACAUCUACAAAAGCACCAGACAUCUCCAAAAGAUGUUACUGAGUAUUUCUAUGCUGUGAUUCAAGCCUGUUAUCCCGUUCGAUUCAUUACACCUGUGACUUAACAAUUGUUGAGAAGAACAGACAAUUGUGACAAGUGCUUUUCCACUCUGCCAUUUGUUCAUUCUCUGAUGAUACAGUAGGUAUUGUGCUUUUCAGAAAAAACUAUUAUGUGUACAGACUUGAUGCAAACACAAUAAAACACACAGAGUAAUCCACAAA